rnacentral:rRNA from 1 species
AUUGAACGCUAGCGGGAUGCUUUACACAUGCAAGUCGAACGGUAGCACGAAGAAAGCUUGCUUUCUUUGGUGACGAGUGGCGAACGGGUGAGUAAUGUAUCGGAACGUACCCAGUAGCGGGGGAUAACUACGCGAAAGCGUGGCUAAUACCGCAUACGCCCAACGGGGGAAAGGGGGGGAUCGCAAGACCUCUAACUAUUAGAGGGGCCGAUGUCGGAUUAGCUAGUUGGUGGGGUAAAGGUCCACCAAGACGACGAUCCGUAGCUGGUUUGGGAGAACGACCAGCCACACUGGGACUGAGACACGGCCCAGACUCCUACGGGAGGCAGCAGUGGGGAAUUUUGGACAAUGGGGGCAACCCUGAUUCAGCCAGCCCGCGUGUGCGAUGAAGGCCUUCGGGUUGUAAAGCACUUUUGGCAGAGAAGAAACGACUCUGGAUAAUACCCGGGGUUAAUGACGGUAUCUGCAGAAUAAGCACCGGCUAACUACGUGCCAGCCGCCGCCGUAA